CGAAAUUGGAGCCAUGGGACUGACUCUGCAGCUGUUGUGGCUGCUUAUCGGCUUGAUGUUCUUCUCCUGAAGAGAAACUUCCCUCAUCACCUGAAAGAUUUGACAUCAGAUAAAGGCUGUUAAGGAAGUUAUAGUAGUGGUAAUAGAUAAAGUUUGGUUUGUCUGUCUUUUCUUUGUUUAAAGGCUUGUACUGUUUCUUUCUCUCUGUGCUAACGUUGGCCUUGGUGUAAUCUAAACUGGGGCUUGUUUUUGGUGAACUUAAAAUCAGGAAUUUGUUCUCAGCGGAGGAAGACAAAAACCAGAUAACUCUCCUCUAUUUCUGGUGAAGAGUGAACUCGUGCUGGCAUAUGAACAACAUACAAACUCGGUUUUCU
rnacentral:lncRNA from 1 species